CUGCCCGUAGCUCAGUUGGAUAGAGCAACAACCUUCUAAGUUGUGGGUCACUGGUUCGAUCCCAGUCGGGCAGGCCA
rnacentral:tRNA from 1 species